GUUGAUGCAGUUCGCGCAUGCUGAUCUGACACGUAGUUCAUGCAAUGGAAUAAUAUCGCAGAAAGCGAUCGUUCGCGUCAUUCCCCGUGGAGACAUACGCGACUCUAGACGGAACGCGGUUACGUACACCUGCCAACGUAACGACCAGCAGGAUUAUUCACGUAAUGUACCCAGCGGAGAUACACGAGUCACACCUGUUGCUUGGUUCGAUACACCGGGUGCUCUCUCGGUGUUCGUUCACCCGUGGCGUGCCAACGUUUCCCCUCUGACUCAUUCAUCCGCAAAAAACCUCCGAAUUAUCCACAACAUUUUGACCGGACAAACUCGCUGGUAACCAAAUUCACGAAACUUCAUCCUUAUGACCGUCUAACGUAGUCGAAGAAACUUUGAUCCUCGAAGAGCGUAAAAGCAUCACGACUGAGAACGCGGCGAUGCUGGCUUACUCUUUCACCUGUUAUCAAGGAGACUUCAUUCACCGCGAUACGAUGGCGCAACCUGAAUGGUGCUGCCAUUAAGUGGUUGCCUCGCUCAAGUAACCUCGCUUCCUUCAAAUUGAAUCCGCAUUAAUCCUAAGAGAAUGCAAUACAUAUUACUCAUAACCCAUCGGAUACUCCGGUUCGAUAAUAUAUUUUAAGUCGGUUUUUGACUUAGAUUCAAACUUAUUUCCCAGCAACUAUAAUAGAGACUUCAAAUUUUUGAAAUAAUUGUUAACCUAGAAUCAUAUAUCAGGUCGCGAUAUUUGGAAUUUAUAAUGUGACAAUGUCAAGUAAAAGCGUAAAAAGUUGAACCCUUCGACACGUCGCUCGAAGACGACAUGACGAUACCUGCGACUUCAAAAAUAUUACAAGCGCUUCGAAGAAUGUCCGACGAUGCACACGCGAUUCAUUCUUUUUCUGUACGUGCUAUCUUAUUUUUCAAACGAGAACGAUCGUCGGCCCAAUAUUUCCCUUCGCGAGGCGACAACUUCACCUCGACUGUCUCUCGUACGAUAGACGUUAAGAUCUGGCAGACAGUUCGACAAGUGCUCGCGUGCACGUAUGCACGUAUCAUGGACACACACACAAUGAAAGAACGAGAGAAAGAGAGUGCAGGGACCGUUUCACGAAUCCGGCCGUACGAGUCCGUUGCAGCAAAGCCAGCCAGUUACUAGGCAGACACACUCCGGUCCAAUGCAAAUUUUCUCGACACCCGAGAGCACGGAUCUGCUAGGCGUGUAGGCGAGAGAUGUCCAUCCUCUUACAGGACCAGUCUUCUACGUGUAUGAGUAUGAGACGCAAACUCGUUGGUAGUGGUGCCAUAGGCGUCACCUAGAGUCCAACUCAUGGCUCAUUGGAGGAAUACAAAAAUAGCUUUGAUUUCACUUAUGGUUCCAACUACGUAUUACAUAUUCAGUUUGUCGCACCUGCGAAUGCACUUGUCGUAAUUGCUAUGCGAAAAUGUGAAAAUAUAUUUACGAUGAUCGGAAAA